AACGAACGCUGGCGGCAGGCUUAACACAUGCAAGUCGAACGCCCCGCAAGGGGAGUGGCAGACGGGUGAGUAACGCGUGGGAACGUACCUUUCAGUUCGGAAUAACUCAGGGAAACUUGUGCUAAUACCGGAUACGCCCGCAAGGGGAAAGAUUUAUCGCUGAAAGAUCGGCCCGCGUUGGAUUAGCUAGUUGGUGGGGUAAAGGCCUACCAAGGCGACGAUCCAUAGCUGGUCUGAGAGGAUGAUCAGCCACACUGGGACUGAGACACGGCCCAGACUCCUACGGGAGGCAGCAGUGGGGAAUAUUGGACAAUGGGCGCAAGCCUGAUCCAGCCAUGCCGCGUGUGUGAUGAAGGCCUUAGGGUUGUAAAGCACUUUCACCGAUGAAGAUAAUGACGGUAGUCGGAGAAGAAGCCCCGGCUAACUUCGUG
rnacentral:rRNA from 1 species